AUUAACCCAUUAGCUCAACUUAUUAUUUACCUUACUGUUUUUACAGGUACUUAUCACAACGCUAGGCUCACACUGAUUUUUCAUCUGAACAGGCCUAGAAAUAAAUAUACUAGCCCUCAUCCCAAUCUCAAUUUAAAAAAAAAACCCGCUCUACAGAAGCAGUCACUAAAUAUUUCCUUAUACGGGCAACCGCAUCUAUAUUCCUCAUAAUAAGUAUUCUCUUCAAUAACCUGUUCUCCAGUGAACAAUAAAUACUAUUAAUCAACUUUCAUCCUUAAAAAUAAUAACAGCUUAGUAAUAAAACUAGGGAUAGCCCCUUUUCACUUCUGAGUUCCAGAAGUAACCCAAGGAACUUCCCUAACAUUCGGUAUACCACUCCUCACAUGACAAAAACUGGCCCUAUUUCAAUUAUAUAUCAAAUUUUUCCAUCAGUAAACACGAACAUCCUCCUAUCUCUCUUGAUCUUAUCUAUUAUAGUGGGCAGUUGAGGAGGACUUAACCAAACACAACUAUGUAAAAUUCUAGCCUACUCCUCAAUUAUUCAUAUAGGUUGAAUAACAGCAGUACUAAUAUAUAACCCAAACAUUACCAUUUUUAACCUAACAACCACUGCAUUCCUAGCACUCAGCCUGAAUUCAAGCACUACAACCCUAUCACUAUCCCAUGCCUGAAACAAAUUAACAUGGUCAGUAUCUAUAAUUCUAUCAAUUUUAUUAUCCCUAGGAGGUUUACCUCCAUGAACAGGAUUCCUGCCUAAAUGAAUCACCAUUCAAGAGUUUACAAAAAAUAAGUCUUAUUAUCCCAACCAUUAUAGCUAUCAUAACUCUACUCAAUCUGUAUAUUUACAUAUGCUUAGUUUACUCCAUUUCAGUGACAAUAUUCCCCACAUCCAAUAAUAUAAAAAUAAAAUGACAGUUCAAAAAUAUUUCAUAUUACUUCUCCCCACACUUAUCAUCUUCUCUACCAUCCUCCUACCAAUCUCUCCACUAACACUAUCCAUAAUC
rnacentral:lncRNA from 1 species